rnacentral:rRNA from 1 species
AACGAACGCUGGCGGCAGGCUUAACACAUGCAAGUCGAGCGCCCCGCAAGGGGAGCGGCAGACGGGUGAGUAACGCGUGGGAAUCUACCCAUCUCUACGGGAUAACGCAUGGAAACGUGUGCUAAUACCGUAUACGUCCUUCGGGAGAAAGAUUUAUCGGAGAUGGAUGAGCCCGCGUUGGAUUAGCUAGUUGGUGGGGUAAAGGCCUACCAAGGCGACGAUCCAUAGCUGGUCUGAGAGGAUGAUCAGCCACACUGGGACUGAGACACGGCCCAGCCUCCUACGGGAGGCAGCAGUGGGGAAUAUUGGACAAUGGGCGCAAGCCUGAUCCAGCCAUGCCGCGUGAGUGAUGAAGGCCCUAGGGUUGUAAAGCUCUUUCACCGGUGAAGAUAAUGACGGUAACCGGAGAAGAAGCCCCGGCUAACUUCGUGCCAGCCGCCGCGGUAAAAC